UGCCAAGCUAUAUCCCUAGAGCAUGGUU
rnacentral:piRNA from 1 species